GACGGAGGGAGCUAGCGUUACUCGGAAUCACUGGGCGUAAAGGGCGUGUAGGCGGAUUAGAAAGUCGGGCGUGAAAUACCUCGGCUCAACCGAGGAAUUGCGUCCGAAACUUCUUUUCUUGAGUGUGGGAGGGGAGAGUGGAACUCCUGGUGGAGCGGUGAAAUGCGUAGAUAUCAGGAGGAACGCCGGUGGCGAAAGCGGCUCUCUGGUCCACUACUGACGCUGAGGCGCGAAAGCCAGGGGAGCAAACGGG
rnacentral:rRNA from 1 species